UAUUGGGCGUAAGCGCGCGCAGGUGGUUCUUUAAGUCUGAUGUGAAAGCCCACGGCUCAACCGUGGAGGGUCAUUGGAAACUGGGGAACUUGAGUGCAGAAGAGGAAAGUGGAAUUCCACGUGUAGCGGUGAAAUGCGUAGAGAUGUGGAGGAACACCAGUGGCGAAGGCGACUUUCUGGUCUGUAACUGACACUGAGGCGCGAAAGCGUGGGGAGCGAACAGGAUUAGAUACCCUGGUAGUCCACGCCGUAAACGAUGAGUGCUAAGUGUUAGAGGGUUUCCGCCCUUUAGUGCUGCAGCUAACGCAUUAAGCACUCCGCCUGGGGAGUACGGCGGCAAGGCUGAAACUCAAAGGAAUUGACGGGGGCCCGCACAAGCGGUGGAGCAUGUGGUUUAAUUCGAAGCAACGCGAAGAACCUUACCAGGUCUUGACAUCCUCUGACAACCCUAGAGAUAGGGCUUUCCCCUUCGGGGGACAGAGUGACAGGUGGUGCAUGGUUGUCGUCAGCUCGUGUCGUGAGAUGUUGGGUUAAGUCCCGCAACGAGCGCAACCCUUGAUCUUAGUUGCCAGCAUUCAGUUGGGCACUCUAAGGUGACUGCCGGUGACAAACCGGAGGAAGGUGGGGAUGACGUCAAAUCAUCAUGCCCCUUAUGACCUGGGCUACACACGUGCUACAAUGGAUGGUACAAAGAGCCCGCAAACCCGCGAGGGUAAGCUAAUCUCAUAAAGCCAUUCUCAGUUCGGAUUGCAGGCUGCAACUCGCCUGCAUGAAGCCGGAAUCGCUAGUAAUCGCGGAUCAGCAUGCCGCGGUGAAUACGUUCCCGGGGCCUUGUACACACCGCCCGUCACACCACGAGAGUUUGUAACACCCGAAGUCGGUGAGGUAACCUUUUGGGAGCCAGCCGCCCUAAGG
rnacentral:rRNA from 1 species